GCGAACGCUGGCGGCAGGCCUAACACAUGCAAGUCGAACGGAUCCUUCGGGAUUAGUGGCGGACGGGUGAGUAACACGUGGGAACGUGCCUUUUGGUUCGGAAUAGCUCCUGGAAACGGGUGGUAAUGCCGAAUGUGCCCUUCGGGGGAAAGAUUUAUCGGGGUUUGAUGAGCCCGCGUUGGAUUAGCUAGUUGGUGAGGUAAAGGCCUACCAAGGCGACGAUCCAUAGCUGGUCUGAGAGGAUGAUCAGCCACAUUGGGACUGAGACACGGCCCAAACUCCUACGGGAGGCAGCAGUGGGGAAUAUUGGACAAUGGGCGCAAGCCUGAUCCAGCCAUGCCGCGUGAGUGAUGAAGGUCUUAGGAUUGUAAAGCUCUUUCACCGGAGAAGAUAAUGACGGUAUCCGGAGAAGAAGCCCCGGCUAACUUCGU
rnacentral:rRNA from 1 species